rnacentral:rRNA from 1 species
UACGAAGGGGGCUAGCGUUGCUCGGAAUUACUGGGCGUAAAGCGCACGUAGGCGGAUCUUAAGUCGGUGGUGAAAUCCUGGAGCUCAACUCCAGAACUGCCUUCGAUACUGGGAAUCUUGAGUUCGGGAGAGGUGAGUGGAACUGCGAGUGUAGAGGUGAAAUUCGUAGAUAUUCGCAAGAACACCAGUGGCGAAGGCGGCU